GACAGAGGGUGCAAACGUUGUUCGGAUUUACUGGGCGUAAAGCGCGUGUAGGCGGCUUUGCAAGUCGGAUGUGAAAGCCCACGGCUCAACCGUGGAAGUGCAUCCGAAACUGCAUGGCUCGAGUCUCGGAGAGGAAGGUGGAAUGCUAGGUGUAGAGGUGAAAUUCGUAGAUAUCAAGCAGAACACCUGCGGCGAAGGCGGCCUUCUGGACGAUGACUGACGCUGAGACGCGAAAGCGUGGGGAGCAAACAGG
rnacentral:rRNA from 1 species